rnacentral:lncRNA from 1 species
AUUUUUAGUAGAGACAGGGGUUUUCCAUGUUGGCGAAGCUGGUCUCAAACUCCUGACCUCAGGUGAUCCACCUGCCUUGGCCUCCUGAAGUGCUGGGAUUACAGGCAUGAGCCACUGUGUCUGGCCGAGAAUCUGUAUUUUCACAAGUUCCUCAGGAGAUUCUUAUACACGUUAAAGUUUGAGAAGCAUUGCUCUAAGAAAAGCCUUGCAUCUACUGGAAUUUAGUAAAGAAAGAAUAACAUGGACUCACCUGCUUUCGGGUUCAGGAGAACUCGCUGUGGUAUUGUUCUUCUUUGCUCCUUUUCCAAAGGAGAGCCCAGGCGUGCUAAUUACUGGGUGGCAGCUACACUAACUGCAAGUGGACGACAGCUGGGUGCCGGGCACGCUCUGCAAGAGGAGGAAUGGCUUUGGCAGAAAAAGACCCAAAGGAACGUUAGAAAGUGGAAAGUUGCUAGGUGUGGUGGCUCACACCUUUAAUCUCAGCACUUUGGGAGGCCAAGGUAGGUGGAUCACCUGAGGUCGGGAGUUCAAGAUCAGCCUGACCAACAUGCAGAAACCCCGUCUCUACUAAAAAUACAAAAUUAGCUGGGCAUGGUGGAGCAUGCCUGUAAUCCCAGCUACUGGGGAGGCUGAGGCAGGAGAAUCUCUCGAACCCGGGAGGCAGAGGUUGCAGUGAGCCACGAUCAUGCCAUUGCACUCCAGCCUGGGCAACAAGAGCAAAACUCCAUCUCAAGGAAAAAAAAAAAAAAGUGGAGAUUAAGGAUGAAGAUAGGGAGACACAUUCAAAAAUACCACCACCAUGUCAUACCUUUGAGGCUGAGUUCUUCAUUCAUUCCACAAGUAUUUCUUGAGCACAUUCUAUGUAUUGGGCACCAUGUUAUUGAGCAAGACAGUUUAGAAUAGAGUUUGUGAACGUGAGCUUGGAGCUACCUGGGCUUGCAAUCCUAGCUCAGCCACCUACUAGCUACGUGUCCUUCAGCCAUUUACCUAAUCUAUCUGUGUCUCCUUUCUCUCACUUGUUGAAUGAAAUAAUAUCAUUAAGUCCUUCAUAUGGUUGCAGCAAAAUGGAAAUAAUAUUAUUUCUUAUCCCAUAGGGUCAUUAUGAGGAUUAAAUUGGUUAAUGCCUGGGAAGCACUUAGAAAAACUCUUGGCACAUAUUAACUACCAAGUACAUAUUAGCUCUUAUUUGGCGGUGAUGUUGCUUUGCUGUUUAACAUGAAUGAAUGUGCCAUGCGACAUUUUGUGUAAAUGAUGAUGAAAGGGAAGAAGCUUUACCCCCAAGCCUACUAGUGAAAGACUGGGUAGACCUGACUUUUACUCAUGCUCCCUCCUGCGGAUAGUAAAUUACUUAGGAAGUUGUUUUCGUCACUUUCUACUUUCGUUCCCAAACAUCAAGAACACUGUUUCUUUAAAUAGUUCUUUAAAAAAUUAUUAGAACAACAAUGAUAUGAGCUAGCUAUAGGAACAUGUAG